CCCUUAGAUGUUCUGGGCCGCACGCGUGCUACACUGAGUGGAUCAGCGGGUCAGGUUGCGCGAAAGCGUUUCCUAAUCUUUAAAUCCGCUCGUGAUGGGGAUUGACGGUUGCAAUUUUCUGUCAUGAACGAGGAAUACCUUGUAAGCGCGGGUCAUCAUCCCGCGCUGAAUACGUACCUGCCCUUUGUACACACCGCCCGUCGCUCCUACCGAUUGAGUGGUCCGGUGAGGCUUUGGGAUCUGAGCGGAAAGAGCGUUUCGCUGUUUCUGCUCGGAAAACUCAGUCGAACCUUAUCAUUUAGAGGAAGGAGAAGUCGUAACA
rnacentral:rRNA from 1 species